CCUACGGGUGGCAGCAGUAGGGAAUAUUUCACAAUGGGCGAAAGCCUGAUGGAGCAACGCCGCGUGCAGGAUGAAGGCCUUCGGGUUGUAAACUGCUUUUAUAAGCGAGAAAUAUGAUGGUAACUUAUGAAUAAGGAUCGGUUAACUACGUGCCAGCAGCGGCGGUCAUCCGUAGGAUCCGAGCAUUAUCCGGAGUGACUGGGUGUAAAGAGUUUCGUAGGUGGGAUUAUAAGUAGCUAGGGAAAUCUGGUGGGUCAACCCCGGGACUGCAUUGGAAACUGGCAUGCUGGAGUGCCGGAGGGGCAAGCGGAAUGCCUAGUGUAGCGGUGAAAUGCGUAGAUAUUAGGAAGAACACCGGUGGCGAAGGCAGCUUGCUGGA
rnacentral:rRNA from 1 species